GCCCAUAUAGCUCAGGGGUAGAGCACUUCCUUGGUAAGGAAGAGGUCGCCGGUUCAAUUCCGGCUAUGGGCUCCA
rnacentral:tRNA from 1 species